UAGAUGCUUUGUAAUUGAAGGAGGAUGGUUUGAAUGACUGUCAAUGAAAAGUGGUUCAUUGUUAGGCUUUCGGUAGGGUUGGUAGCUUUCAGUCAUUCAAACCAUCCUCCUUCAAUUACAAAGCAUCUACCAUCUU